rnacentral:rRNA from 1 species
GAUGAACGCUGGCGGCGUGCCUAAUACAUGCAAGUCGAGCGAACGGACGAGAAGCUUGCUUCUCUGAUGUUAACGGCGGACGGGUGAGUAACACGUGGAUAACCUACCUAUAAGACUGGGAUAACUUCGGGAAACCGGAGCUAAUACCGGAUAAUAUUUUGAACCGCAUGGUUCAAAAGUAAAAGACGGUCUUGCUGUCACUUAUAGAUGGAUCCGCGCUGCAUUAGCUAGUUGGUAAGGUAACGGCUUACCAAGGCAACGAUGCAUAGCCGACCUGAGAGGGUGAUCGGCCACACUGGAACUGAGACACGGUCCAGACUCCUACGGGAGGCAGCAGUAGGGAAUCUUCCGCAAUGGGCGAAAGCCUGACGGAGCAACGCCGCGUGAGUGAGGAAGGUCUUCGGAUCGUAAAACUCUGUUAUUAGGGAAGAACAUAUGUGUAAGUAACUGUGCACAUCUUGACGGUACCUAAGCAGAAAGCCACGGCUAACUACGU